rnacentral:rRNA from 1 species
ACAAUAUACAAGGUGCUGCAUGGUUGUCGUCAGCUCGUGCCGUGAGGUGUCGGGUUAAGUCCCAUAACGAGCGCAACCCCUAUCAUUAGUUGCCAUCAGGUCAAGCUGGGGACUCUAAUGAAACUGCCUACGCAAGUAGUGAGGAAGGUGGGGAUGACGUCAAAUCAGCACGGCCCUUACGUCCAGGGCUACACACGUGCUACAAUGGCCGGUACAAAGGGCAGCUACCUGGUGACAGGAUGCUAAUCUCAAAAGCCGGUCUCAGUUCGGAUCGGAGUCUGCAACCCGACUCCGUGAAGCUGGAUUCGCUAGUAAUCGCGCAUCAGCCACGGCGCGGUGAAUACGUUCCCGGGCCUU